rnacentral:rRNA from 1 species
GAUGAGCGCUGGCGGCGUGCCUAAUACAUGCAAGUCGAGCGAACAGACGAGGAGCUUGCUCCUCUGACGUUAGCGGCGGACGGGUGAGUAACACGUGGAUAACCUACCUAUAAGACUGGGAUAACUUCGGGAAACCGGAGCUAAUACCGGAUAAUAUAUUGAACCGCAUGGUUCAAUAGUGAAAGACGGUUUUGCUGUCACUUAUAGAUGGAUCCGCGCCGCAUUAGCUAGUUGGUAAGGUAACGGCUUACCAAGGCAACGAUGCGUAGCCGACCUGAGAGGGUGAUCGGCCACACUGGAACUGAGACACGGUCAAGACUCCUACGGGAGGCAGCAGUAGGGAAUCUUCCGCAAUGGGCGAAAGCAUGACGGAGCAACGCCGCGUGAGUGAUGAAGGUCUUCGGAUCGUAAAACUCUGUUAUUAGGGAAGAACAAAUGUGUAAGUAACUAUGCACGUCUUGACGGUACCUAAUCAGAAAGCCACGGCUAACUACGUG